CCUACGGGAGGCUGCAGUGGGGAAUAUUGGACAAUGGGGGGAACCCUGAUCCAGCCAUGCCGCGUGUGUGAAGAAGGCCCUCGGGUUGUAAAGCACUUUCAGUGAGGAAGAACGCCUGGUGGUUAAUACCCAUCAGGAAAGACAUCACUCACAGAAGAAGCACCGGCUAACUCCGUGCCAGCAGCCGCGGUAAUACGGAGGGUGCGAGCGUUAAUCGGAAUUACUGGGCGUAAAGCGCGCGUAGGUGGCUUGAUAAGCCGGUUGUGAAAGCCCCGGGCUCAACCUGGGAACGGCAUCCGGAACUGUCAAGCUAGAGUGCGGGAGAGGAGGGUAGAAUUCCCGGUGUAGCGGUGAAAUGCGUAGAGAUCGGGAGGAAUACCAGUGGCGAAGGCGGCCUUCUGGACUGACACUGACACUGAGGUGCGAAAGCGUGGGUAGCAAACAGGAUUAGAUACCCGAGUAGUC
rnacentral:rRNA from 1 species